rnacentral:rRNA from 1 species
AGCGAACGCUGGCGGCAGGCCUAAUACAUGCAAGUCGAACGCACCGCAAGGUGAGUGGCAGACGGGUGAGUAACGCGUGGGAACCUUCCUAGUAGUACGGAAUAACUCCGGGAAACCGGUGCUAAUACCGUAUAAGCCCUCCGGGGGAAAGAUUUAUCGCUACUAGAUGGGCCCGCGUCGGAUUAGCUUGUUGGUGAGGUAAUGGCUCACCAAGGCUUCGAUCCGUAGCUGGUCUGAGAGGAUGAUCAGCCACACUGGGACUGAGACACGGCCCAGACUCCUACGGGAGGCAGCAGUAGGGAAUAUUGGACAAUGGGCGAAAGCCUGAUCCAGCCAUGCCGCGUGAGUGAAGAAGGCCUUAGGGUUGUAAAGCUCUUUUGGCGGGGAAGAUAAUGACGGUACCCGCAGAAUAAGCUCCGGCUAACUUCGUGCCAGCCGCCGCCGUAAC